rnacentral:misc_RNA from 1 species
GAUGAAGAACGUAGCGAAACGCGAUACUUGGUGUGAAUUGCAGAAUCCCGUGAACCAUCGAGUCUUUGAACGCAAGUUGCGCCCGAAGCCACUAGGCCGAGGGCACGCCUGCCUGGGCGUCACACGCCGUUGCCCCCCCAUCUACUCCUUCGGGAUUGCGGGGGGGCGGAUGAUGGCCUCCUGUGCGCCUAGCCGCGCGGUUGGCAUAAAUACCAAGUCCUCGGCGACGCACGCCACGACAAUCGGUGGUUGCGAAACCUCGGUUGCCCGUCGUGUGCGUUCGUCGCGCAUCGAGGGCUCGAAAAAAUGCUCGGCUCCGGCUGGGCUUUCAACGCGACCCCAGGUCAGGCGGGGUUACCCGCUGAAUUUAAGCAUAUCAAUAAGCGGAGGA